rnacentral:rRNA from 1 species
AAUAUUGGACAAUGGGCGAAAGCCUGAUCCAGCCACGCCGCGUGUGUGAAGAAGGUCUUAGGAUUGUCACGCCCUCUAAGUCGAGAGAUAGGGCAGUAAAUUAAUACCUUGCUGUUUUGACGUUACCGACAGACUAAGCACCGGCUAACUUCGUGCCAGCAGCCGCGGUAAUACGAAGGGUGCAAGCGUUAAUCGGAAUUACUGGGCGUAAAGCGCGCGUAGGUGGUUCGUUAAGUUGGAUGUGAAAGCCCCGGGCUCAACCUGGGAACUGCAUCCAAAACUGGAGAGCUAGAGUACGGUAGAGGGUGGUGGAAUUUCCUGUGUAGCGGUGAAAUGCGUAGAUAUAGGAAGGAACACCAGUGGCGAAGGCGACCACCUGGACUGAUACUGACACUGAGGUGCGAAAGCGUGGGGAGCAAACAGG